AGAGAAAGCAACAAAGGUCUGGAAGCCGCAGACUGAAAUAAAUAGCGAGCUGUAAUGUAUUUAGCAAAUGAUAAUGCAAUCCGCAGAAAGCUUUACAGAAGAGAAGGAAAAAUACACUCCCUGGGGCUGGGAAGUCACUGAGUCUGUGAAGGCAGAGAAAGAUACAUUGUGCAGGAAAUUUCUCUUGCUUCUCCCUACACAUAAAUCACUGUCUCUCGCGGGCGCUCUGCAGGAUGGAGGUUGAGAGGGGCGAGGGACCCCGCUCCCUUGGGAAAACAUGCUAGCGCUCCUUGCUCCCCGCUAUGAUGCAUCUCACCUGCCCCAGCGGAUCAUUGUCAAAGAGAUUUAGCCGUGUCACUGACACCUCACCCCGCCUCCUCCCACGAGGUGGCUCAGAGUCCCCGAGGACGCGGGACUUCGGAGCUCCCGCUGGACACCGGGGCCUGUUCCAAGGUGUGGAUUUUCAGUAAAUCUUGUCUGGAGACAUCCUUCACGGCCGAGCAGGAACACCUGUGGAAUGACCAGCCACGUAUCUUAUACUCUUGCUGCGUGUAAAAGUCCAUUCACUGAAACACUGUUUAUAACAGAUUAAGAACAACAGGUGUAUCCACACAAUGGAAUACUCUGCCACUGCAAAAACAGACACUGAGAGAACUGCCAUGGAAAGUACUCGAGAUCCUGCCAUUUUCAACACCCUGGAUGGACCUUGAGGGCAUUAUGCUAACUGAAAUAAAUCAGACAGAGAAAGACAAAUACCGUAUGAUCUCACGUUUGGAAUCGAAACACAAAACUAAUAUAAACAGAGAUCAGAUUGGUAUUGCUAGAGGUGGGGAUGGGGGUGGGUGACAUGGGUGAAGGUCAUAAAAUGGUAAAAUCUUCCAGUUAUAGAAUGAAUGAGUUCUGGGAGUGUGAUGUACAGCAUGGUGACUGUAUAGUUAACAAUAUAGUUAACAAUCAUCUGAUGGUUGCUAAGAAAGUAGAUCUUAAAAGUUCUCAUCACAAGAAAAAAAUGUGUUACUAUGUGAGAUGAUGGAUGUGAACUAAACUCAAUGUGGUAAUCAUUUCUCAAUAUAUACAUAGAUCAUUAUGUUGUACACCUUAAAAUUAUACAACAUUAUGUGUCAAUUCAAUAAAACUAGGGGGAAAAGAAAGUAUGGGAUAUACAGUAUUAUGCCCUAGUUUCUAAAAGGGAGAAACUAAGAAUAUAUCUUUGUAUUUCCUGUUAAGGAAAUACCCAUUGGAAGGAUUCAAAAAAUAACUUUAAAAAUGAUUACCUUGGAUGAAAGCAGAUAAUAGGAUUGACAGGACAGGACACAGACUUUUUAAUGUAUAGCUUUUUAUAAUAUUUUGAUCUUUGAACCAUGUAAAUGGGUUACUUAUAAAAUGUGUUAAAACAGAAAUUUCAUAGAGAAGUACUACCAGCCUUUCAAAGCUUAAAUGAGAAAACAUAUGUCCACUUUCUAGCACUGUACCUGACACAUGGUAGGAUCUCAGUAAACACUAACUAUGAAAAUAACUACCCAUUGCAGUGAAGGAAGAAAGGCUUCAAGAUGGAAGGAGAACUUGACCUCAGCCUGGUGGCUGGAAAAAACUCAGAGAGUAGAGAAAUGGGGACCAUCACCAAAUAUGGGAGCAAAGUUGUGAAAACAUGAAGGCUCUGGACAGUAAAUAGCCCAUGGGAUUAGAGCAAAGAGUUGGGAGCAGAAGAGCAGGGGGAGAUGAAGUUAGUGAGAUAAAUUGGGGCCAUAUAGGGGAAGUUUUGAACUGUAGGCUUUAUUCUUUGGGUCAUAGAACAAUAACUAAUCUUUGUAUUGUAUUUUAUGGCAGAAACUCAAAUUUUAUUGUCUGGAUUUGCUACUAACCCAAUUAAUGUUAUAAGCCUCUAAAAUAUUCCUGGACUAGAAAUGUUCUAUUAGACAUGGCAAAUGUCAGGAAGUGUCCCUUUUACCAGAAGCAAAACUCGUCAGAGGGGAUCGUCAAGCUGGCUCAGUCUGUUGAAGGUUUUCAAACUGAACAGUGACUUAAUUUGUUUGCUUUUGGUCCUGGCUUUGGAUUUUACCUGGUAUUUGCAUAAGAAAAAUAUUAAUCAAUUUAAAACUGAAAAAGGGAAGGGAAAGGACCAUCUAAAAGUCAGCUGGUUUAGGACCUUUCUGUUUACUUUCUGCUAAAGGUUCCAAA